UACGGCGGUCAUAGCGUGGGGGAAACGCCCGGUGCCAUUCCGAACCCGGAAGCUAAGGCCCACAGCGCCGAUGGUACUGCAACCGGGAGGUUGUGGGAGAGUAGGUCGCCGCCGGAC
rnacentral:rRNA from 1 species